CAUGAUUGGCGAGGACGGGGCCGAGGACGUGGCUUUGAUGGAAGAGGUCGUGGCCGAGGAAUCCAUCCAACAGGCAGAGCAAAUAUUUCUGCAACUUCUGCGGAAUCCCCUCAAUCAUCUGCGAAAUUUGAAUUGACUGCUGAAGACUGGGAGAAGUGGUGUCAGUUUAAAGGCCUACAUCUGAGUGACAAGCAAACAAUGGAGACAACAUCGGCUUCCACCUCUGCUGCCUCUACAAACUUCGGGGGAACUUGGGACUGGAAGAAGUCUUGGGAUGGGGAACAUGCGUGAUGGCCUAUACUACAUGGAUGCCAACAUAACAUCUGCAAUAGUUGCUGCUGCAUCUCUCUCUCCAUUGGAAGAACUUCUUCUUCAUCAUCGUAGAUUAGGCCAUAUGUCUUUUGCCAAUCUUGGAUAUCUUUACCCAGAACUCUAUAAGAAGGUCAAGAAAGAGGAUUUAGUAUGUGAUGCAUGCCAAUAUGGGAAGCAGACCCGUAUUUCCUAUGUUUUGUCUGAUAACAGGAGUUUGGUUCCACUCCAAACAAUUCACUCAGAUGUUUGGGGUCCAAGUGGGGUAACCUCUCUUAAUGGUAACCGUUAUUUUGUUACCUUUAUAGACUGCUGUACUAGGACUACUUGGGUGUACGUGUUGAAGAAAAAAAGUGAUGUGUUUGAAUGCUUCAAGGAUUUCCAUAAUAUGAUUAUGAAUCAGUACAA